CAAAUUACGUCAUCAUGCGACUUAGAGAGCAGAAAGAAAGAAAGAAAGAGCAGAAUGUUUUCAACUCCAUAUUUUCUGUAUAAUUUGCUGGUUAUAAGCAGAUCUAUGCACGGCACUCCAUUAUACCACACUGAUAGCUUCUCAAAGAUUAUAAAUAUGAUACAUGUAAGCAGGCACAGUUACUUGUCAUCACAAGGAUCAGAUUUCAAGUGCCAGAGUAGUCAUAACUCCUAAAUUUUCCCAAUUUGUCA